rnacentral:rRNA from 1 species
AUUGAACGCUGGCGGCAUGCCUUACACAUGCAAGUCGAACGGCAGCACGGGAGCAAUCCUGGUGGCGAGUGGCGAACGGGUGAGUAAUAUAUCGGAACGUGCCCAGUCGUGGGGGAUAACGUAGCGAAAGCUACGCUAAUACCGCAUACGAUCUAUGGAUGAAAGCGGGGGAUCGCAAGACCUCGCGCGAUUGGAGCGGCCGAUAUCAGAUUAGGUAGUUGGUGAGGUAAAGGCUCACCAAGCCGACGAUCUGUAGCUGGUCUGAGAGGACGACCAGCCACACUGGGACUGAGACACGGCCCAGACUCCUACGGGAGGCAGCAGUGGGGAAUUUUGGACAAUGGGCGCAAGCCUGAUCCAGCAAUGCCGCGUGCAGGAUGAAGGCCUUCGGGUUGUAAACUGCUUUUGUACGGAACGGAACGGUGAGCUCUAAUACAGUUUGCUAAUGACGGUACCGUAAGAAUAAGCACCGGCUAACUACGUG